CAUCCAUGCAAUCAUUGUGCUCUUGCUCAAGCCAAAGAAAUGUCAGCAGUUACAGAUCUCCUCAGUGUUUUAUGAGCAGAAACUAGAGUGAUGAGUUCUUCCACACACAAUUAUUUUAGUAUCUUUCUAUCUAUCAAUCUAUCAGGACAUAACUUUGUCAAAUUCACAUUUUAAUCAGAUAGAAUUGUGUCUUUUCAUAUACAGAUUAUGAAUAAAACACUCAAACCAAACAACAGAACUGGAGCAUUAAUAGGACGCUGGUUUGACCUAGUCUGAAGUCUGUUAUGCAGGCAUUCUGGCCCUUUGUUACAUCUUUCCCCACUCUCACAGUUUCCUGCCCCAUGCACCAUCCUGUCUUUUCAAUACAGAUAUAAACGGUUAAAAACUAAUGUAUAAAUCUAGAGCAUUUUCAGAAGGCCUUCUAGUCUGAACAGUUUUUAAGAUUAGAGUAGAUUCUCUGAGUUUUGUUAAAGUGGAAGACUCUUUUUUUGCACCCACAGCUGCUGCAGCACUGAACUGUACUGGCCCUGAUGAUGAACCCUGGAUGUAAAGUGUGCCUGGAGUCUGGACAGGUAACAUGCUUGUUUUUCCUCCAGCCUGUCUCCUCUGUGUCACCUGUAUGUUUGAGGGGUUGAAAUGUUGCUGCUUUGUCAAGCGUGUUAUUGCUGUGGAGAACAGGGACUGUCUGCUGGCCUCUGAAUGCUCAAAUGACACCCACAGGAAAAUAAAGGGGGGGAGGGGGACAUCUUUUCAUGUUGCCAACCUUUAAUCUUUCCCCUGGUCUCAUUAGCUGGCUCGGGUGGGUCAUGUGCCGAGACACUUGGCCCAGAUAAACAAGCCAUGUGAAGAUGCCAAUCAUGAUGAAGAGGAGACUAGUGCUCCCAGUUGAGUGCGGUAAUCACAAACUGGUAUGACAUGUUGAUUACCGAUGCUCCACUGCUGAUGAAGACCGGCUGGAGAUAAUCACUCUUGUGCUAGCACUUUACAGCUCAUGUCUAUAUCUUCUGGUGCAUCAGUACACAUCGAUGCUUUGUGCUUUAAACAAAACAGCACAAUUACUUUUCAGGUGAAAAAGACAACCAAACUGUGAGCGUGGAGAAUUCAUAAAUCUCCGGAAGCAGUGUCACUGAAAAUCUCUUUUUUUUCCUCUCCAGGAAACACAAGGUGAUGACAGAGGUUAAUGGAUAGUGAAUGCAUCAGUGCUGAAGAGAAUUUCUGUCUCUUUCCAUUCGCUUCAUAUCUCUUCCGCCUGUGGCUCCUGGACCCCCAGGGAUCGAUUGUUCAACUAUGGUCACAGCCUGGUAGUGUGUUUGUGCGUCCGCAGGGGCUGUAGGUGUGAGUAUGUGUGUUUGCAUAAGCCAAAAGCAACAAACCAUCGUCAGUCAGAG